rnacentral:lncRNA from 1 species
CUUUCAUGUUGCUAUUCUGUACCCUAUAGUAGCCUCCAUGAGAAUCUGGUAUUUCUUGCUGCUUGGAACUACUUUGCAGUGAUUACUUGGUUGCAGUCCAAGUAUUCUCGUUUAGUCUGAGCCUGGAGAUGUUCUAGACUUGCUUCUCCCACCUCUGAGAUUAGGACAGGAAAAAUGUGAAAUUUCCCAAUUACAGGAUUAUACGGUACCAUCACAUCAUUUGUGGAAAUUGGGGUGACUGUAUAGCUGGGAUUGGGCUAAGGACUGUGGUCUUAUCUGUCCACAUACAGCCAAAAUGCCUAUCCAGAAAUCCAGUUCGUUGGAAAGGAAAAUUGGUACUCCUGUGCCACAGGGGUUCCAGAAAAGGGAAGUCACUUUACCUUGCGGUGGUGGGAUCCUGAUGUCUUUCAUCCAUUUGUAGUAAAAGCUGGUAAAGCUUUUCUUACUCCUGGUUCCCUACCAGUAUUUCUAAACAUGUCGCACUUUCUCCACAGGCAUGUGGUUUUGACCUUUUUUUCAAUCUUCUAGAAAGGGAACGGAAGCAGAAGUGGGACAUCGAGGGCUCUGCUGUCCUCUGCGCUGGGUGUGGAAUGCUGCUGCACCUGUCCCUUCUGCUGGCUCAGGGAAGUGUCUUCUUGCCCACAUUUCUGUGGGGAAAGGUUUUUAAUCCUCUGAUGCUUCCAUCUUCCUGUUUAGGCCAUGUGCCCAGAAACCUGGACUGAUCUUUCUUUAAUAGUGAACCCCUGGGCCACUGAAGAGUAACAUGGCUCCACUGGACACAAAAGAGGGAUGGAAUCAACAGGCAGGGGGCCUUUUAUAAGCCUUAGGAAAAGAAAAUGAAACUAUUUCAUCUUUGGACUUUUCAAUACUAUUGGAGUGAUUUUUUUCUUUCUAAACAGGGAAAAUAAUGUUACAAAAGCAUCUUUUUUGUUAUUUGUUUGCAUCCCUCCCCCACACCCUGGUGUUUUAAAAUGAAGAAAAAAAACCACUUUUUGUACAAAAACUCUUAAUGAUUAAAAAACAAACAAACAAAACAUAUUGGCCUUGUCAUUUGUGUGAAAGUGGGCAAAGACUGGAAUAGAGUAAGACAACUGAAACCAAUUUUCAUCCUUUUACUGAGGAAAAAAAUAUUUAAUAUUUUUGUUAUAUAAGGAAUAGUGCCUAAGGCAGGUACUUAUACUCCUGACCUCAGCCCCACACACUCUGGUUUUAUAAAGCUAUAGGACAGAGCAGAGAUGGAACUGAAAAACAGGGUAGAAAAUAACAUAAAUUGGAGGGGAACAGUGGGAUGCAGAAAGAAUGACAACAGCCACAUGUGCCCCAGUCAAAUACUUUUAGUCCCUGCAGCAGAAGAUGCCAACCAAGUCUCUAUACUGGCUGGGGAUCCUGCCAUGGAUGCAGGAGAAAAAAUUCAAUCACAAGGGAGUAAGUGACAACAAAAAGAAAAAACUCUGAGCCACAGCUACACUGGGAGGGGGAAGGACCAGAUUUUGCUACUUCUGUCACACAAGCUAGAAAAACCCUACCUCUCCCAUUGGGCAGGCAACCUGACAUUCCACCCAGUUCCUUGCCUUACCAUACUAUGUAUUCCUCCUCUUGGAGAAUUAAGACCUGGGCUAAAUGCUCCACUCCGGGAUAAGGCUGAGCAGUCCUAGUUCUCUAGACUGCCUCUUUUAUAAAGAUUGGAUUAAGGUACGUGAAAUGGUGAGAACUGUAAAGAUUUUAAAAAAUAAAGUAGAACC